GCAUCGGUGGUUUAGUGGUAGAAUGCUCGCCUGCCACGCGGGCGACCCGGGUUCGAUUCCCAGCCGAUGCA
rnacentral:tRNA from 1 species